UUCAAGAUAGCUCAGUCAGUAGAGCAUGAGACUCUUAAUCGCGAGGUCAUGGGUUCAAGCUCCAUGUUGGGUGAAA